CACAGUGUUAAUUCUAUGCGGAUACGUACGUGUCGACCUGCCAUUGCCAUCGCGGCGCAUGAUGGCAUGCACAAGUCGCCUGCAGGAGGAAAUCAUGGGCUGGCACUGGCCUCGUGGAAGUCUUGUCGCCUGCCUGCCUUCCUUCCUUUCUUUCUUUCUUUCUUUUUACUUUGAAAAACCUCGUUGCUUGAAGGAAUCUGACGUACUUGCAGUCUAUUGCGUUGUACCUUUCACCUUGUACCUCAGGUCGAAUUCCAGUGGUUAUGUACUCGUCACGAUGAAAUGUACUCCCUCCAAUAUGUAAAAAAGAUUAAACUAAAAGAUAAUUGUAUCACUAGCCCAACCAGGACAAACACCAAAUCAAAUAGCAACUUGGAUAACAAAAAAACAUUGGCGAACAAUAUCACAAGAGGUUUGUCAUGCACCUAUCGUGAACAAUCACAUAUUUGCCUUGGCUCUCAAACAUCCAAAACCUGUAUAAGUGAGAGGUGUAAAACGGAAAAAAAAAAUUAGUCCUGAAAGUUGAGAUGUGGGUUGUUUAGAGGUCCAAACC
rnacentral:lncRNA from 1 species